UGAGGAAUAUUGGUCAAUGGGCGAGAGCCUGAACCAGCCAAGUAGCGUGCAGGAUGACGGCCCUAUGGGUUGUAAACUGCUUUUAUAUGGGAAUAAAGUGAGGGACGUGUCCCUUAUUGCAUGUACCAUACGAAUAAGGACCGGCUAAUUCCGUGCCAGCAGCCGCGGUAAUACGGAAGGUCCAGGCGUUAUCCGGAUUUAUUGGGUUUAAAGGGAGCGUAGGCUGUUUGUUAAGCGUGUUGUGAAAUGUAAGAGCUCAACUUUUAGAUUGCAGCGCGAACUGGCAGACUUGAGUGCGCACAACGUAGGCGGCAUUCAUGGUGUAGCGGUGAAAUGCUUAGAUAUCAUGACGAACUCCGAUUGCGAAGGCAGCUUACGGGAGCGCAACUGACGCUAAAGCUCGAAGGUGCGGGUAUCGAACAGG
rnacentral:rRNA from 1 species